UCAGGUCAUGUCUACCACAUUGCAAUAGGCCCUCACACUGGCAUUGUGAGUACAACACCGGUAUGGAGAGUCAAACACAUUGCAGAGUACAGGUCUUCUUCGCCCCAAACUGCUUCCUCUUCUCCUUUUCUCGAAUCGUCCACUAGAGGAUUUCUUGACAACUAAAAAGAAGAAAAGAAUUGGAAAUAUCAGAGCCCCCCCCCCGGCAACACCCACCAGGGCAGGAAAAUGCUCACAUUAGGGGGGGUGCCAGGGCAGAGCCUGACUUCCUGGAGCCCCUGCAGCAAGGGGGCCCAGCCAUUCUGAUUCCCCACCCUGCUCCCUGCCCACCACUCAGGGCUGCUCAGCAUGGUUCAGCAGUGCAGACCUAGGUCAGGAGCGAGGGUGACUCCAGUAAAGCUGGUGAGGGGGCCAGCAGAGAGACCUGAAAGACAUUGAAGGUGUAAGAACCUCCAGUACCUGCAUGGCGCCAGGUUCUUUGGAAGAACCAUCCAAAGAGGGAAAGGGGAAGAAACACAAAGAGGAGAUCAAAGUGGGAACCCAGGAUCUGAUGGUGCCCCUGACUACAGACAGCAAGAGACUGAUUCCAGAAUAUACACCUCUUUGGGCGGCACCUGCAGGAAACCAGAGGGAACCCAGUGUUUGGCCCCCACGGUAAGGAAACAGGACACCUGUAGGAAAUUGUUUUUCCUUGGAGAUGUGUCUGCCCAGCCACUCAGGAUGGUGCCUACAAAAUUCUUCAUCCAAGCAGGGAAACUGUUGCUGAGGGAAAGAAUGCCACCACCGCAAUUCUUUUUUUUUUUUUUUAAGUAUCAUUUGUGAAGUUCAACCAACCUUUAUUUGUCUAUACAUAUUAGGUACAUAUUUAGUGUUUAGC